rnacentral:rRNA from 1 species
GCUCAGAUUGAACGCUGGCGGCAUGCUUUACACAUGCAAGUCGAACGGCAGCACGAAAGAGCUUGCUCUUUUGGUGGCGAGUGGCGAACGGGUGAGUAAUACAUUGGAACGUACCGAGUAAUGGGGGAUAACUGUCCGAAAGGAUGGCUAAUACCGCAUACGCUCUGAGGAGGAAAGCGGGGGACCUUCGGGCCUCGCGUUAUUCGAGCGGCCAAUGUCUGAUUAGCUAGUUGGUGGGGUAAAGGCCUACCAAGGCGACGAUCAGUAGUGGGUCUGAGAGGAUGAUCCGCCACACUGGGACUGAGACACGGCCCAGACUCCUACGGGAGGCAGCAGUGGGGAAUUUUGGACAAUGGGCGAAAGCCUGAUCCAGCCAUGCCGCGUGUCUGAAGAAGGCCUUCGGGUUGUAAAGGACUUUUGUCAGGGAAGAAAGGGUUUGGGUUAAUACCCUAAGCUUAUGAC